AUUCCAGCUCCAGUAGCGUAUAUUAAAGCUGUUGCAGUUAAAAAGCUCGUAGUUGGAUCUUGGGCCCAGGCCUGCGGUCCGCCGUGAGGCGAGUACUGCAGUCCUGGCCUUCCUCUCGGUUUUCGCCCGGUGCCCUUAACUGAGUGCCAGGAGAGGCCGGAACGUUUACUUUGAAAAAAUUGGAGUGUUCAAAGCAGGCCUCGCGCCUGAACAGCAGAGCAUGGAAUAAUGGAAUAGGACCUCGGUUCUAUUGCGUUGGUUUUCGGAACUCGAGGUAAUGAUUAAGAGGGACUGACGGGGGCAUUCGUAUUGCGGUGUGAGAGGUGAAAUUCUUGGAUCGCCGCAAGACGACCGACUGCGAAAGCAUUUGCCAAGAAUGUUUUCAUUA
rnacentral:rRNA from 1 species